UACGUAGGGCGCAAGCGUUAUCCGGAAUUAUUGGGCGUAAAGAGCUCGUAGGCGGUUUGUCGCGUCUGCUGUGAAAGACCGGGGCUCAACUCCGGUUCUGCAGUGGGUACGGGCAGACUAGAGUGCAGUAGGGGAGACUGGAAUUCCUGGUGUAGCGGUGAAAUGCGCAGAUAUCAGGAGGAACACCGAUGGCGAAGGCAGGUCUCUGGGCUGUAACUGACGCUGAGGCACGAAAGCGUGGGGAGCAAACAGG
rnacentral:rRNA from 1 species